UGUCUAAAGCCAAAAAAUUGUCAGAUAGUACUCAGAAUUUUGCCCGCACCGUCUAUGACUCAAGGAAGGAGGAUGGGACGAGAAAUCUGUUCUUCUGUGUCCCUAAAGGCGUGAAUGUGUCAACGAGUCUUCAACUCUUCCUAAACCACAGAAAAAAAUUACAAAAUCCAACCGUAAUCAUUUAACCCCAAAAGCAGGAAGAAAAAAUGGGAAAAGAAAAGAAAAUUUCCGUAAGAUCCCGCAGGCGCAGCAGCCAAAACAACAGAUAACGGUACUGCCAGCCUCCCUCAACCUUCUCAACGUCUUCAGCUUGUCCAACUGAGCUCCGUUUCGUCACCCGACCCGCCCCGACCUCAUCAGGUACAUAAGCAAAUCAUUGUUAUUAACAUGCUUCCCUGUCAUAUGUUUGACAAUUUUACGGAGAACAAGGAGGAUCUUUUUUCUCCUGGUGAAAAUUCAUGUGGGAAUUUUGAAGCUUCCUUAUGUGUUUUGUGUGUUGGUGAGAAUUUAGGUGUAACUUGUGGGAUACAAAAGGAAGAAGUUUGUUGGGGAGCUGUAAAGUAUGUAUAGGCCUGGGGCUGCAACCCCAAAUCGAGGUGGACUGCCUAUGGAUAGUGGAGAUUCUGUGGUGACAUUGGAUCAAGUUCCCCGUUGGAGUGAUGUGGAGUAUAGAUAUGCAUAUGAGAAUGAAGAUGGGCCUUUUCCAAAUUCUUAUUUUGCUGACCCUUUGACAUCUGCAUCUGAGGCUGGGAGUAGUGGAAAUGGAAUGGUUUCUAGGUUUCCUGUCGAUCAUGAAAUUAACUCAAAGAUAUAUUUGUGGAGAGGGAAUCCUUGGAAUCUUGAGGUGGAUGCAGUUGUAAACUCGACUAACGAGAACUUGGAUGAAGCACAUAGCAGCCCAGGGUUGCAUGCUGCAGCUGGACCUGGUCUUGCAGAAGAAUGUGCAACUUUGGGUGGCUGUCGAACAGGAAUGGCAAAAGUUACCAAUGCAUACGAUCUUCCUGCAAGGAGGAUUAUACAUACUGUUGGUCCCAAGUAUGCAGUAAAGUAUCACACUGCCGCAGAGAAUGCGCUGAGUCACUGCUACAGGUCUUGUCUUGAACUUCUCAUUGAAAAUGGACUGCAAAGUGUUGCUGUGGGCUGUAUAUAUACAGAAGCCAAAAAUUAUCCACGAGAACCAGCUGCACAUGUUGCAAUAAGGACUGUGAGACGGUUUCUUGAGAAGCAGAAAGAUAAAAUCAACGCCGUUGUAUUCUGUACAGCUACAUCAACUGAUACUGAGAUAUAUAAAAGAUUGCUUCCACUUUAUUUUCCACGUGACAAACAGGAAGAGGAGAUAGCUAUUUCAAAACUACCUGCAGAUGUUGGCGAUGAAAAUGGUGAGACAGUUAUAGAUGAGCGAAAAAUCAGAAUAAAGUCUCUGCCCAAUGUGAAGAAGAGUAUUCCAAAACCUCCACAACCUUCCAAUGAUCUCCCUGUCAGUGAUCUUGGGUUGACAAGGAGGAAUUCUUCAUAUUUGGAUUCAUACUUGGAUCCUGCCUUUAUGUCGUUGAUAAAGGACCCAGACCAGCGACGUAAAGAACAGUGGGAAAAAACUGCUCAAGCUCAGAGUGGUUGGAACUGUUUUAAAAUGCUUGGAUAUGGUGACCUCGGGGGACCUCCUUUAUCUGCUGCAGAAGAAUAUUCUCUCCAUUCUCGAUACCUUGCAAAAGCAAAUUCUCUCAAUCUUUCUGAAAUUGCAGAAAUGAAAAUUGUCUAUCGAGGUGGGGUUGAUAGUGAGGGUAGACCAGUUAUGGUCAUUGUGGGUGCACAUUUCCUUUUACGCUGUCUUGAUCUAGAGCGUUUUAUACUUUAUGUGGUUAAGGUAAAUAAUUAUUGCUUGCUUUCUUCAUUAUAUUUUCCUCAGGUAUAUGAUAAAUUAACUCCUGCAUCAUGUUUGCAAUAUGACUCACUGUUCCUGGGAGUUUGAGCCCUUGAUACAGAAGCCUUACUCCAUUGUUUACUUCCAUUCUGCUGCAUCUUUACAAGCGCAACCAGACCUGGGAUGGAUGAGAAGACUACAGCAAAUACUUGGUCGAAAACACCAGCGUAAUCUUCAUGCUAUAUAUGUCCUACACCCCACCUUUGGCUUGAAAGCAGCUAUUUUCGCAAUGCAAUUAUUUGUUGAUAAUGUGGUGUGGAAAAAGGUGGUAUAUGUAGAUCGGCUUCUUCAGCUAUUUAGAUAUGUCCCCCGAGAGCAGCUUACAAUUCCGGAUUUUGUGUUCCAGCACGAUCUAGAAGUGAAUGGUGGGAAGGGCGUCAUUGUCGAUCCACGCACCAAAUAUGUAUAUCAGCGUCCAUGAGCGUUGUACUUGCACACUUCCGUCAUAUACAGUUUUUGAUCAAGUGUCCAGAAAGUCUGUGAAUCUGUAUUCUUUUUCAUUUUUUCAGAUUUUGAGUGUACCUUCUUCUUUUUUUUUUUUUCAAAUUUCUUCUUCAAAUUCACUUCUUAUCCCAUAUCUAUGUAUUUAUCCUUUUUGAGGAAAUUGAGAGUUCUUUGUGUAUGCAAACACUGACAAUUUUUCUUGUCGUGUUGUAAUUUGAUAUUCUGUGGAUACCACAUUUGUAAAAACGCUCAAUUUGUCCUCUUGGAAGUUUGCCUUUCAU